GGAUAGAACAAAAGAUUUAUAUAACCUCCAUGAACUUCUUGACCCAAGCAUUGGUCUACAAACAACAUUAAAAGGUCUAGAUAAGUUUGUGGAUCUGGCAAUGGAAUGUGUAAAAGAGUCGGGAGCUGACAGGCCUAUAAUGGGGGAUGUGGUGAAAGAGAUAGAGAAUAUCUUGCAGCUUGCUGGUUUAAAUCCCAAUGCUGAAUCUGCAUCUACUUCGGCUAGUUACGAGGAAGCAGGCAAGGGAAGUCCUCGUCAUCCUUA
rnacentral:misc_RNA from 1 species